AAAGUUGUAAUAUAGAAAUAUUUUUGGUCUUUGUCCCCAGUUCCUGGCACAGAGCUCCUAAAACCCUUGGAAUUUCCUGAGUGAGAGGAGUGGCCUUCUGUUAGCCAUAGGUAAUCCUUUCUGAGCAUCUCAGUUCCACCGGAACAGAAGCUACUAUGCUCAGAACCCUUCUGGACGUCACUCUGUGGAUCUCUUCAUCUGGCUGCUCAUCUGUGGCCUUUAUAUAGACGAAAAUAAAUUGGUAAAUGUAAAUCAACAUUUCCUGAGUUUUGUGAGGUGUUCUAGCAAAUCAUGGGACCCAAGGAAGUGGGGAUAGGAAUCCCUAAUUUUCCGCUGGUGAGUCAGAAGCACGACUGUCCUGGGUGUGCGAUCGGCAUCAGUCUUGGGGGACUGAGCCCUUAACCUGUGGGAUCUAAUGCUGUCUCCAGGUAGACAGUGUCGGGGUUGAGUUAUGCUGUAGCACAUUCAGUCCUGCUGAAUUGCUUGCAGUUGGAAAACAAACUAGUGGUAUAAUAGUAGAUAACAUAACUAACUAGAUAUAGGACACUUCUUUCUCCCAAAAUUAUCCCUUGGAGCGGAGAGUGGGACGGGGAAGAGCUCACAUAUUCAAGGCACGCUCUCAGUUGCUUAUUCUACUUGCCACUUUCUUGUUCAAAAUAAAGUAAAUGCCUUAAUUAAUUCAUUAAUUUUCUAAACUAUUCUUUUUGGGGGGAGGAGGAGUAAUUAGGUUUAUUUAUUUAUUUAUUUGAUGGAGGUACUGGAGAUGCAACCCAGGACCUCAUGCAUGCUAAGCAGGCACUCUACCACUGAGUUGUACUCUCCCCCUAAAAUGCCUUAAUUUAAAAAAAACAGAAAACAAAAAAACAUUGGUGUCCGGUCCCCUUCCUGCUGCAGUGAAAUCUCAAGUUCCACAGAUUCCUGGAGGCUCUUCUAACCCAGGGUGCUGCCUGUACUUGUUUUUCUCAUCUCUCAUUCUUUUUAAAUUCAUGCUUAACUCCUGUGGGAGAGAAUAGCUGUCAACAGCUUUAAUUAAACUGUACUUGUAAAAAAUUAUUUUCUUCUACUCCUCUUUACAUUUUUGGUAUUGUUGAUCUUUAAACAUUAAAUGAUCUUUGAUAAUGGGAGGAAAAAAGAGAAUAUUCUCAAUAUCUGAAAAAGCUAUUAAAAUACCCCUCCCUUUUCCUUUUCCACCUACAUAUCUAUGCGAGGCUGGAUUUUCUUCAUAUACUGCAACCAUAACAACACACGGCAACCCGACUGAAUGCUGAAGGAAAUGCAAGAAGCCAGCUAUUUCUGCAGGAGGUGACACUCUCUCUGAACACUAAAGACAGCUCCCCACUGCCGCCCAGUAAGAACGGCAUGGCGCGAGGGUGCUUCUGGAUUUCUUCUCACCACACAAGGUCACCAGGAGAGGUCAGCCGUCUGCAGCCUGGAAGAGGGUUCUCACCAGACACGGAAAUGGCCAGCGCCUUGUUUUUGGAUUCCCCAAACUCCAGAACUGUGAGAAAUAAAUGUUAUUUGUUUAAGCCAC